rnacentral:tRNA from 1 species
AUUUAAUAUAGCAUAUAUAAUGUAUUAAAUUUAGAAUUUAAAGAAAAAUUUACUUUUAUUAAAUA